ACCCCACUUCGAAACACCCAAACUAUCCCUUUAAACACAAUGAAAUUUGGUUUGGCAGCAAAUAUCAAUGAGAUGACUGAUACUGCAAGGAGAGGAGGAUAUAUGCAGGAUAACUCCAUUAGGUUUUCCUCAAGGACUAUAAUGUUUAGCUUUGUAGAUCUCGAUGAAAAUGUGUCUUGAACAAAAGGAAAAUCCUCCCUGGAUACCCCGGAGUUAGUUUCACUGAGUCACAUGGUGAGCUGAGCGACAACACUUCCCUGGGAACUACCUAAUGUGUGUAAGCGGUAUUAUAUAGAGCAUGUAUGCUGUCGCUGCCUGAUCACACUCUUUAGUUUGCAAAAGCCUCAUUCAUAAUGCAGCAAGAAAAGAGUGCUUGUGACAAUUCCUGUUAUAUUGCAUUAAAUAACAACGUAACCUCUCACCUCUGCAGUAUAGCAACUUUAUUUGAGUGUAACAGCUACUUUGACCUCUUUGGUUGACCCCCACUGUUCCCAUUAUGUGUUUACAGUCUGCUGUGAUGAUUCUGUGUACUUCAGGAGUUCAAUUUAAUUUUGGUACUGUACAAAUUUCACUCGACAGAAGCUCUCAGAUCAGCGAUCCUAUUCUAAGACCCUUGACACACUAAUGGCUACCUUCCAUGGUCGAGAGGAUACGACUUCUCUGGAAGAUGGAUGACAGAGUUUACCUUCUUCAUCCUGAAGAUCUCCAGCACACCUCUGUCCCAGUGAGGAGGAAAACUUUCAUGCAUA